rnacentral:rRNA from 1 species
GCGGCAGGCCUAACACAUGCAAGUCGAGCGGUAGAGAGAAGCUUGCUUCUCUUGAGAGCGGCGGACGGGUGAGUAAUGCCUAGGAAUCUGCCUGGUAGUGGGGGAUAACGUUCGGAAACGAACGCUAAUACCGCAUACGUCCUACGGGAGAAAGCAGGGGACCUUCGGGCCUUGCGCUAUCAGAUGAGCCUAGGUCGGAUUAGCUAGUUGGUGAGGUAAUGGCUCACCAAGGCGACGAUCCGUAACUGGUCUGAGAGGAUGAUCAGUCACACUGGAACUGAGACACGGUCCAGACUCCUACGGGAGGCAGCAGUGGGGAAUAUUGGACAAUGGGCGAAAGCCUGAUCCAGCCAUGCCGCGUGUGUGAAGAAGGUCUUCGGAUUGUAAAGCACUUUAAGUUGGGAGGAAGGGCAGUUACCUAAUACGUGAUUGUUUUGACGUUACCGACAGAAUAAGCACCGGCUAACUCUGUGCCAGCAGCCGCGGUAAUACAGAGGGUGCAAGCGUUAAUCGGAAUUACUGGGCGUAAAGCGCGCGUAGGUGGUUUGUUAAGUUGGAUGUGAAAUCCCCGGGCUCAACCUGGGAACUGCAUUCAAAACUGACUGACUAGAGUAUGGUAGAGGGUGGUGGAAUUUCCUGUGUAGCGGUGAAAUGCGUAGAUAUAGGAAGGAACACCAGUGGCGAAGGCGACCACCUGGACUAAUACUGACACUGAGGUGCGAAAGCGUGGGGAGCAAACAGGAUUAGAUACCCUGGUAGUCCACGCCGUAAACGAUGUCAACUAGCCGUUGGAAGCCUUGAGCUUUUAGUGGCGCAGCUAACGCAUUAAGUUGACCGCCUGGGGAGUACGGCCGCAAGGUUAAAACUCAAAUGAAUUGACGGGGGCCCGCACAAGCGGUG